rnacentral:rRNA from 1 species
GACGAACGCUGGCGGCGUGCUUAACACAUGCAAGUCGAACGGAAAGGCCCUUCGGGGUACUCGAGUGGCGAACGGGUGAGUAACACGUGGGUGAUCUGCCCUGCACUUUGGGAUAAGCCUGGGAAACUGGGUCUAAUACCGAAUAUGAUCAUCAGCUUCAUGGUUGGUGGUGGAAAGCUUUUGCGGUGUGGGAUGGGCCCGCGGCCUAUCAGCUUGUUGGUGGGGUAAUGGCCUACCAAGGCGACGACGGGUAGCCGGCCUGAGAGGGUGACCGGCCACACUGGGAAUGAGAUACGGCCCAGACUCCUACGGGAGGCAGCAGUGGGGAAUAUUGCACAAUGGGCGCAAGCCUGAUGCAGAAACGCCGCGUGAGGGACGGCGGCCUUCGGGUUGUAAACCUCUUUUAGCAGGGAGAAGCGAAAGUGACGGUACCUGCAGAAAAAGCACCGGCUAACUACGUGCCAGCCGCCGCCGUAAUAC